UACGGAGGGGGCUAGCGUUGUUCGGAAUUACUGGGCGUAAAGCGCACGUAGGUGGCUUUGUAAGUUAGAGGUGAAAGCCCAGGGCUUAACCCUGGAAUUGCCUUUAAGACUGCAUCGCUAGAAUCGUGGAGAGGUGAGUGGAAUUCCGAGUGUAGAGGUGAAAUUCGUAGAUAUUCGGAAGAACACCAGUGGCGAAGGCGACUCACUGGACACGUAUUGACGCUGAGGUGCGAAAGCGUGGGGAGCAAACAGG
rnacentral:rRNA from 1 species